rnacentral:misc_RNA from 1 species
AUCAAAACCCCAUCAAAACGACACCGUUCAAAUGCUCCGUUCCUUCGCUUCCAAACGCUCUCUUCAAUCCCUUCUCCACCACCACUACCGCCGCUGCCGUCAGAAUCCUCAAUUCCCAAUCUUCAAUCCCCGUCCCUUUUCUUCAUCGCCGGGACCGCCGUCUUCCGACGCCGAGCUCCGGAAAUACAUCGGAUACACACUUCUCCUCUUAGGUUCUGCUGCCGCCACGUAUUAUUCCUUUCCAUUCUCGGAAGACGCGAGAGACAAAAAAGCUCAGCUAUUUCGGUAUGCUCCGUUGCCGGAUGAUCUUCAUACUGUGUCUAAUUGGAGUGGGACUCAUGAGGUUCGGACUCGCACUUUCUUGCAACCCGAGUCAGUGGAGGAGCUUGAAGGGAUAGUGAAAGAAGCGAAUGUGAGGAAGCAUAAGAUCCGGCCGGUUGGGUCGGGUUUGUCGCCGAAUGGGAUUGGGUUAACACGAGCUGGGAUGGUGAAUUUGGCGUUAAUGGAUAAGGUUUUGAGUGUGGAUAAGGAGAAUAAAAGGGUUACUGUUCAAGCUGGGAUUCGAGUUCAGCAGCUUGUGGAUGAGAUUAAGGAGUUUGGGAUUACUCUUCAGAACUUUGCUUCCAUAAGAG